CCCUGGGCUCUCAGGCUCUGCAGGUUCCCUGGGCUCUCAGGCUCUGCAGGCUUCCUGGGCUCUCAGGCUCUGCAGGUUCCCUGGGCUCUCAGGCUCUGCAGGCUCCCUGGGCUCUCAGGCUCUGCAGGUUGCCUGGGCUCUCAGGCUCUGCAGGUUCCCUGGGCUCUCAGGCUCUGCAGGC